rnacentral:sRNA from 1 species
GUAUUAACUGGCACACACAAGGCGGCUACUGGUUCUCGGCCCAAGUGUGGCCUGCUCCUACCUCUCCACUCCAGGGCUGAUUUGUGGGCAGAUUCAAGUCUCGCAAAGAGCGGGAAGCUGAGCUUGGAGCCAAAGCCAAGGAAUUCACCAAUGUUUAUAUCAAAAACUUUGGGGAAGAGGUGGAUGAUGAGAGUCUGAAAGAGCUAUUCAGUCAGUUUGGUAAGACCCUAAGUGUCAAGGUGAUGAGAGAUCCCAAUGGGAAAUCCAAAGGCUUUGGCUUUGUGAGUUACGAAAAACACGAGGAUGCUAAUAAGGCUGUGGAAGAGAUGAAUGGAAAAGAAAUAAGUGGUAAAAUCAUAUUUGUAGGCCGUGCACAAAAGAAAGUAGAACGGCAGGCAGAGUUAAAACGGAAAUUUGAGCAGUUGAAACAGGAAAGAAUUAGUCGAUAUCAGGUAAGGUGGUCUUGGCCCAGCCUAGCAAAGGGAUUUGCUGUGAAAUAUUUGCAGAACACCCUUAUGUUUAGCGGGCUUUCUUUUUGGGGACUUGUAGUGUGUUC